UUAGAAGUGCCAGAUUGAAUGGGUUGGAUUAAGGUUUCAAUAAUGGGUAUGCGUCUCCUUCUAAA
rnacentral:tRNA from 1 species